ACAGUCACGAGGGCAAUUGUGCUUCAUAUCUCCUUUCAGACUCAUGUGACAAAUAAUGAAAAUGCAACAACAGCAGAUCAAAUCCCAACAUCUGUAACUGUUGGGUACCUAGUGGACAUCUUGCCUGAGUAAAACUAGGGUGGCAAAGAAUUCAGGAUGACAGCAGCAGCAGACCAGAGGAAGAGAUGAACCGCGAUUGGAACCAAUGGUGAACAGCUGCUAUACUGCACCCAAGAAACACACACCUACAAACACAAACAUAAUGGAGAAAAGAGUUUAAAGUACUAUUUCCCCUUGUCUGCCAACACGCAACAAAAGCAGUUGCUUGGUCUUCCACAUAUCAAUGGCAAAGAACAGUCAAUGAGAAUGGGUUCUGUGUAGCAAAGAAUGUUAACUCUCUCCU